rnacentral:rRNA from 1 species
AUUGAACGCUGGCGGCAUGCCUAACACAUGCAAGUCGAGCGGAUGAGGGGAGCUUGCCCUUGGGUCCAGCGGCGGACGGGUGAGUAAUGCCUAGGAAUCUGCCUGGUAGUGGGGGAUAACGUCCGGAAACGGGCGCUAAUACCGCAUACGUCCUGAGGGAGAAAGUGGGGGAUCUUCGGACCUCACGCUAUCAGAUGAGCCUAGGUCGGAUUAGCUAGUUGGUGGGGUAAAGGCCUACCAAGGGGACGAUCCGUAACUGGUCUGAGAGGAUGAUCAGUCACACUGGAACUGAGACACGGUCCAGACUCCUACGGGAGGCAGCAGUGGGGAAUAUUGGACAAUGGGCGAAAGCCUGAUCCAGCAAUGCCGCGUGUGUGAAGAAGGUCUUCGGAUUGUAAAGCACUUUUGGUUGGGACGAAAAGGAGUGAGUUAAUACCAUGCUGUUUUGACGGUACCAACAGAAUAAGCACCGGCUAACUACGUG